CAGAAGAAGAUGAAAAAUCGACAGUUUGGUAGGAUGCCACAAAACAUGCUCUGGUCAGGUCCAAAACUAUGCCUAAACAGAAGAAAUGCAAGAAAGGUUUAUCCAUCUGAAUAAUUAAAUCACUGCAGAUGCAUAAUAAAGAUGAUGUAUAUUAAGUUAACAAACUGCAAGAUCAAAAGAAGUCGCCCUUCUCCCCCAGCUGUCUCAAGAGAUAUCUGGAACUGACUAAAAACUUAUAUAUGCAAACCCAUCCUGGGGCUCUAUUCAGACCUAUUUUUCUGUCUUAUCACUUAGCUGCCAAGUCUAUCCCAAUGAGUUUAGAAACACGAGUGGGAAACUGAAGAAUUUUGGAAUACAUGCCACAUCACAAUUCUGCUCUUCCAUAGGUUUCUAGUCAAAAAUGAUUCAGUUUAAACCUUGACUUGCAAUUCAGACU
rnacentral:lncRNA from 1 species